rnacentral:rRNA from 1 species
CAGCCGCCACGGGAAAACGAGGGGGGCAAGCGUUGUUCGGAAUUAUCGGGCGUAAAGGGUGCGUAGGCGGCUUGACAAGUCUUGUGUGAAAUCUAUGGGCUCAACCCAUAGUCUGCACGGGAAACUGUCGGGCUUGAGAAUGGGAGAGGUGAGUGGAAUUUCCGGUGUAGCGGUGAAAUGCGUAGAUAUCGGAAGGAACACCUGUGGCAUAGGCGACUCUCUGGUCUGUAACUGACGCGGAGGAGCGAAAGCGUGGGGAGCGAACAGGAUUAGAUACCCGUGUAGUCCCUGUCUCUUAUAC